ensembl:lncRNA
UGCCUGAAUCUCCAAGAGUUCAACAAUCUCAACCUGCUAUGCCCCUGAAAAUAAUUUCCUGUGCCCUUUAGCAGUCCCCCUGCCCACAGCGCUCUCCCUGUGUAUUUGCAUUGACCCCACACUGUGACAGCAGCCAGGCUCUGGUGUCAUCUCCACAAGCAUGUAAUGACAGGCUUUGGGGUAGUCUUGAUGUGGAACGUGACCCUCUGCUAAGCGAGCUGUACAGCCACCCUGCAACAAAGAAGGAAUGCAUCACAGAGUGGAGGAAGAGGAUCGCUGCUUGUAGAUGGAAGAUUUUUAGCAUUUCAAGCACCAGGGAAGCUGGACCCUCAAAACCAACUCACACCCAUGCUUCAGAGUCCUAUAAAAUAAAGCUGUGAUGGCAACUCAUAGCAAACCCAAACCCAACACUGAAGAUACCACAUAAUUCUUUGCAAAUGUGCAUGUUUCUUCCUGUCAUAUUUGUUUGCCAGAUUCCAGCCUGAUGCAAUUUGAAGCAGCUGGGACCUUUAAGUCCUGUGUUGACUGGCCUGCAUAAAAUCAGAGAUUUCAGCACUGUGCUGUUCCCAGUCACCACGGGACUCUGUCUCCUUUUCAUCUGGCAGCGAAGGUUGUUACUUGCUACCCACUGUGGGUGACUAAGCCCCAUUUUGGGGAAGGCUAUGCCAACAGUUCCCACAUGCCACAGCUAAGAGCACGUGGUGUACGGUGCUUCCUGGUGCUUCAUCCCACUGUUGUUAGGAUUCUGCCACCUAGCAGGACAUCAUCCAUUUAAUAUCAGGUCAGAUAUUAGGAACAGUUUCUACUCAGAAAGAGAAGACAUGGGCUGCUCAGGGAGAUGAAAUCACUGUCCCCAGAGGUGUUCAAGAAAAGGAUAGAUGUGGCACUGAGGGAUGUGGUCUAGAGCAGUCUCAGGCAUGGACUGAUGGUUGGACUAGAUGAUCUUAGUGGCCUUUCCAACCUUAAUGAUUCUAUGAUUCUAAGUCAGCCAAGAAAUUUGGGAUUCCACCUUGUUUGUUGCUCACAGGCAAUGAAGCUUGGAAAGUGAGUCAGAGGAGGAAAGCACAUGCUCUCUGCUGGAGGAGCACAGAUGCUACACAUCCAGGUCCAGAGUAGGCAGCAGCAGGGAACACCGUGAACCAAUAACAUGCUAAAGAUAGAACAACUACAGUGAAGAGGCAGCCCAGGAAAUCAUUAUUUCCAUGUGCUACUGCUUUUGUCAAGCUGGUCCCUAUAGAAUGUGCAACAGGUAUGCUCUCCAGACCCUGCUAGGUUGUGUGCUGCACUGAGCUGCUGAUGCCUGAGAUGAAAACUCAAAGAGAAAAAGCCAGGGCACAGAUAUUGCAACAGCUGGCAGAUGUCCUUUGCGUCAGUAAGGUCUUAGAAGAUGAGACGGUACAGCUGGCAGGAUGAAAUGAGAGCAGCUGGAAGUGGAAGACCUGAUUUCUACAUAUUAAAACAUUUGACAUUUGGUAUCUGAAGGGAAUGCUGUUUGUUUAGAGCUAAUAUAUAACUCGCCACUGAUGACAACUUGUAAUGACAGCUUUUAUUAUGGUCUGGUUAAUCCUCAAAUUCAGCCUUGUCCUUUUAGACCAUCUGCCACCAAAUUUUUGCUGUUGUUGUUAAGUGUCAUGCACUUGAGAUGUCGUAGCCAUGCAAAUACGGAGCAUGUGUCCUGGUG